rnacentral:sRNA from 1 species
CACCACACGGGAGCCCCGUACAGUGCC